UACGUAGGGGGCAAGCGUUGUCCGGAAUCAUUGGGCGUAAAGCGCGCGCAGGCGGUCAUUUAAGUCUGGUGUUUAAUCCCGGGGCUCAACCCCGGAUCGCACUGGAAACUGGGUGACUUGAGUGCAGAAGAGGAGAGUGGAAUUCCACGUGUAGCGGUGAAAUGCGUAGAUAUGUGGAGGAACACCAGUGGCGAAGGCGACUCUCUGGGCUGUAACUGACGCUGAGGCGCGAAAGCGUGGGGAGCAAACAGG
rnacentral:rRNA from 1 species